GACGAACGCUGGCGGCGUGCUUAACACAUGCAAGUCGAACGAAGCGGCGAACGGGUGAGCAACGCGUAAUCAACCUGCUCUUCAGUGGGGGACAACAGGUGGAAACGACUGCUAAUACCGCAUACUGAAGGAGGGGAUUGCGUCUGAUUAGCUAGUUGGAGGGGUAACGGCCUACCAAGGCGAUGACCAGUAGCCGGUCUUGGAGGAUGAACGGCCACAUUGGGAAUGAGACACGGCCCAGACUCCUACGGGAGGCAGCAGUGGGGAAUCUUCCGCAAUGGACGGAAGUCUGACGAAGCAACGCCGCGUGAGUGAUGACGGCCUUCGGGUUGUAAAGCUCUGUUAAUCGGGACGCGGUACCGGAAUAGAAAGCCACGGCUAACUACGUGCCAGCCGCCGCGGUAAUAC
rnacentral:rRNA from 1 species